AAAUAUCAUAUUGAAGGCUUUCGAGCCUUCUGUCCUAUGUGGUGUUUCCAAACUUGUCGUACCCAUCCCUAAGAUGGGUUGAAAGACUCGUAGCAUUUUGAAGUUUUACGCAUCAAUCUGGGAAGAUUAAGGACUGACGCAGCAUAUUGAAGUGGUCCACGUUGACAGCUAGCAAAGAUUAUAUGCAAUACGAAGUCUAAGAGAAGGCGAUUCAAUUAAUUCAAACUUUAUGGUCGAACACUAGGCGUGAGAAUAUAAAUCAGUCACAAAAAGGGCAUUUGGACUCCUACUGCUGGUCGCCUAUCCCCUAGCAACCAACCUGUGGAGUUUAAAGCUGGGGGCUGAGUUUACUUGUUGGGCCAUUGAUACUUGCUGAGAGAAAGGAUCGAGUUGCUUGAGGUAGAGAUAUCCCUGCUGAAGGAUGACGAAAGACCAAGUGAUGGGCCUAAGAUUUGGCCUUGGCCGGGAGUGGAAUUCACAUUGCUGAGUUUGAAAGAAAAGUGGACAGUUUUGAGGAGCAUAACUAGGCGCCAUUACGUUGGAUGCAACAGUAACUAUAUGUAUUGACAAUCAUUUACUAUGCCCUUGGUUUCAUGUAAAGGCUCUCUCUUCAAAGGAGCACGAUUCUUGGAUGGAGGCCAUAUAAGAGGAGGUAAUAGCCUUGAAGAAAUGUGAAAACUGGGAUCUUGUCAAUUUACCCAAAGGAAGAAAGCCCAUAGGUUGCAAGUUAGUGUACAAAUAGAAACUCAAGCAAAUUAUUAGAGAGGUACAAAGCCAAGCCAGUGGUUAAGGCCAAUCCCUAGAUUGAGGGAAUUGAUUUUGCUGGAUUUUUUUAACUUAUUGCUAGAUUAUCUUCCAUUAAAUUCCUAUAAUCUAUUGUUGCAUCUUGUGAUUUUGAGAUUGAGCAAAUGGAUGUUAAAACUGCUUCUUGCAAGGGGAUCUUGAAGAGGAAUUUAUAUGUGUUAGCCACAUGGAUUUGAGGUAACAGAGAUAAAAUGAUCUUUGUAUGGUUUGAAACAA